CCUACGGGCGGCAGCAGUGGGGAAUAUUGCACAAUGGGGGAAACCCUGAUGCAGCGACGCCGCGUGAGUGAAGAAGUAAUUCGUUAUGUAAAGCUCUAUCAGCAGGGAAGAAAAUGACGGUACCUGACUAAGAAGCCCCGGCUAACUACGUGCCAGCAGCCGCGGUAAUACGUAGGGGGCAAGCGUUAUCCGGAUUUACUGGGUGUAAAGGGAGCGUAGACGGCAGUGCAAGUCUGGAGUGAAAUGCGAGGGCUUAACCAUGGAACUGCUUGGGAAACUGUGCAGCUGGAGUGCAGGAGAGGUAAGUGGAAUUCCUAGUGUAGCGGUGAAAUGCGUAGAUAUUAGGAGGAACACCAGUGGCGAAGGCGGCUUACUGGACUGUAACUGACGUUGAGGCUCGAAAGCGUGGGGAGCAAACAGGAGUAGAUACCCCAGUAGUC
rnacentral:rRNA from 1 species